rnacentral:snoRNA from 1 species
AUUAGAAUGAUGAUAACUUUGAUAGGGACAUCUGAUGUCUAUGAUUGAUUUAUCACUUUUUAUAAAACUGACACA